rnacentral:rRNA from 1 species
CCUACGGGUGGCAGCAGUGAGGAAUAUUGGUCAAUGGACGAGAGUCUGAACCAGCCAAGUAGCGUGAAGGAUGACUGCCCUAUGGGUUGUAAACUUCUUUUAUAUUGGGAUAAAAUGUUCCACGUGUGGGAUUUUGUAUGUACCAUAUGAAUAAGGAUCGGCUAACUCCGUGCCAGCAGCCGCGGUAAUACGGAGGAUCCGAGCGUUAUCCGGAUUUAUUGGGUUUAAAGGGAGCGUAGGUGGAUUGUUAAGUCAGUUGUGAAAGUUUGCGGCUCAACCGUAACAUUGCAGUUGAAACUGGCAGUCUUGAGUACAGUAGAGGUAGGCGGAAUUCGUGGUGUAGCGGUGAAAUGCUUAGAUAUAACGAAGAACUCCGAUUGCGAAGGCAGUUCACUGGACUGCAACUGACACUGAGGCUCGAAAGUGUGGGUAUCAAACAGGAUUAGAUACCCGAGUAGUC